CAGUAGCCGCGGGAAUACGUAGGGUGCAAGCGUUAAUCGGAAUUACUGGGCGUAAAGCGUGCGUAGGUGGUGGUUUAAGUCCGUUGUGAAAGCCCUGGGCUUAACCUGGGAAUUGCAGUGGAUACUGGGUCACUAGAGUGUGGUAGAGGAUAGUGGAAUUUCCGGUGUAGCAGUGAAAUGCGUAGAGAUCGGAAGGAACAUCUGUGGCGAAGGCGACUAUCUGGGCCAACACUGACACUGAGGCACGAAAGCGUGGGGAGCAAACAGGAUUAGAUACCCGCGUAGUCCCUGUCUCUUAUAC
rnacentral:rRNA from 1 species